rnacentral:rRNA from 1 species
AUUAGCUAGUUGGUGAGGUAAUGGCUCACCAAGGCGACGAUCCGUAACUGGUCUGAGAGGAUGAUCAGUCACACUGGAACUGAGACACGGUCCAGACUCCUACGGGAGGCAGCAGUGGGGAAUAUUGGACAAUGGGCGAAAGCCUGAUCCAGCCAUGCCGCGUGUGUGAAGAAGGUCUUCGGAUUGUAAAGCACUUUAAGUUGGGAGGAAGGGCAUUAACCUAAUACGUUAGUGUUUUGACGUUACCGACAGAAUAAGCACCGGCUAACUCUGUGCCAGCAGCCGCGGUAAUACAGAGGGUGCAAGCGUUAAUCGGAAUUACUG